rnacentral:piRNA from 1 species
UGAAAACACACAUACACAGCAAAGUC